rnacentral:lncRNA from 1 species
ACAUGCUGCUAGAGGCCAAGGCUGUGGGUUUUGUGUUCAGUUCUACAUGGAAAAUGAAGGGACUCUGUGUAUGUUUUUUUUAAAUAGGUCAAUUAGCGCACCCUAUUCUACAUGCAACUUAUGUUUCAGUUAUUCUUUGUAUUUUUCAAGUGUGGCUCGAAGAAGGUUUUCCCUAGGUCUGACUUUAGAUAGGUUGGAUGGGCUUAUCGUAUUUCAUUUGUGUGGCAGGAGGAACCAUGCUUUAUGAUUGUUUGAUGCUCUAUAUGGGAUACAUGGGAGGUGGCUUCAAAACUUAUAUCCAUGUCUUUUUAGCCAAGCCAAUGUGUAGUUCACAAUAUGCGACAUGCAAGAAUGUUAUGUGUGUUGGGUUUUCCCAUAUGUAUUUUCCAAUUAUGGGGUGAACAACAUUAUGAAUGGCUAUGUAUUGUACACAUGAGUCAACCUCUUCCUAAUAUGCAUUUUC